rnacentral:rRNA from 1 species
AUUGAACGCUGGCGGCAUGCCUUACACAUGCAAGUCGAACGGCAGCACGGUUGCUUGCACCUGGUGGCGAGUGGCGGACGGGUGAGGAAUACAUCGGAACAUGUCCUGUAGUUGGGGAUAGCCCGGCGAAAGCCGGAUUAAUACCGCAUACGCUCUACGGCUGAAAGCGGGGGACCUUCGUCCCUCGCGCUUGAGGGUUUGCCGAUGCCUGAUUAGCUAGUUGGUGGGGUAAAGGCCUACCAAGGCGACGAUCAGUAGCUGGUCUGAGAGGACGACCAGCCACACUGGGACUGAGACACGGCCCAGACUCCUACGGGAGGCAGCAGUGGGGAAUUUUGGACAAUGGGCGAAAGCCUGAUCCAGCAAUGCCGCGUGUGUGAAGAAGGCCUUCGGGUUGUAAAGCACUUUUGUCCGGAAAGAAAUCCUUGGCUCUAAUACAGUCGGGGGAUGACGGUACCGGAAGAAUAAGCACCGGCUAACUACGUG